CGGGAUGUGGCGCAGUUUGGUAGCGCGCCUGCUUUGGGAGCAGGAUGUCGCAGGUUCGAAUCCUGUCACCCCGA
rnacentral:tRNA from 1 species